UGAAAGCAUCUAAGCGCGAAGCAGGCCUCGAGAUGAGUUCUCACUAGACUUUUAAAGUCUCUGAAGGGCCGUUGAAGACUACAACGUUGAUAGGCAGGAUGUGGAAGUGGUGUGAGCCAUUAAGCUAACCUGUACUAAUUACCCGUGAGGCUUAACCAUACAACGCCAAACGCGUUU
rnacentral:rRNA from 1 species